rnacentral:tRNA from 1 species
GCUCGGAUGGUGAAAUAGGUAGACACAAGAGACUUAAAAUCUCUCGCCGCAAGGUGUGCCGGUUCGAUUCCGGCUCCGAGCACCA